rnacentral:lncRNA from 1 species
CCGCAUGUUACUAAGCAAGGAAGUGAAUAAGUAUUCCUACAUAUGAAAUCUCUUAUCCUAUGAUUCAUACUUGAGUACAUGUCUUACAAUGAAUAUCCUAGUGAUUGGAUAUCUUAUGAUUCAUUAAGCAUGUUCAUAUGAGUUACUUAAGGUAAUACAAGCUAAGAGUUUUUGAAUCCAUCAAGUUUUAGUGUUUGAUUUUGAAAGGGUCAUCUUUGAACGAGUAUAACU